rnacentral:rRNA from 1 species
GAUGAACGCUGGCGGCGUGCCUAACACAUGCAAGUAGAACGGUGACGGAGGAGCUUUUUCUUCUGGAUGAGUUGCGAACGGGUGAGUAACGCGUAGGUAACCUGCCUGGUAGUGGGGGAUAACUAUUGGAAACGAUAGCUAAUACCGCAUGACAACAUCUCUUGCAUGAUAACGGUUUAAAAGGGGCAACUGCUCCACUACCAGAUGCAGCUGCGUUGUAUUAGGUUGUUGGGGAGGUAACCGCUCACCAAGGCGACGAUACAUAGUCGGCGUGAGAGGGGGGACGGCCAGCCUGGGACUGUGACCCGGCCCAAGACCCUUCGGGGAGCAGCCAGAGGGAAACUUCGGACAAGGACGGAAAGCUUGCCGAGGAAGGCCGGGGGGGUGGAGGAAGUUCUCGGGUCGGAAAGGUCUGUUGUAAGGGAAGAAAGAGAGUGAGGGUGGAACGUUCACUCUGUGACGGUAUCUGAACAGGAAGCGACGGCUAACUACGUG